rnacentral:piRNA from 1 species
CAUACAGUUAGUUACUCCCUCAAGGCAGA